UCUUAGUGGAAUAUUAUAAAGUGAAACUGCGAACGGCUCAUUACAACAGAUAUAAUUUACUGGAUUUUGAUUGUUAUAUGGAUAACUGCGGUAAUUCUGGAGCCAAUACAUGCGUCAAGCAUCAGCCUUUGGUUGUUGUGCAUUUAUUGGAGCAAAACCAGUCUUUGACGGUUGCUAACUCUGGAUAAUUAUGUAUAUCGCACGGUCUUGUACCGGCGAAUUUUCUUUCAAGUAUCUGCUUUAUCAACUAUCGUUGGUGGUUUAUUGGACUACCAUGGUUGUGACGGGUAACGGAGAAUUAGGGUUUGUCUCCGGAGAGGGAGCCUUAGAAACGGCUACCAUGUCUAAGGAUAGCAGCAGGCGCGAAAAUUACCCAAUGCCGAAACGGUGAGGUAGUGACGAGAAAUAACGAGACCGUUCUCUUUGAGGUCGGUCAUUGGAAUGAGUACAAUCCAGACAUUUUAACGAGUAUCUACGAGAGGGCAAGUCUGGUGCCAGCAGCCGCGGUAAUUCCAGCUCUCGUAAGGUAUAGAAUUAUUGUUGCGAUUAAAAAGUUCGUAGUUGGAUUGUUGAACUGGCUCGGGUCCACCCUCGUGGUGCGUACUCGUUGCUUGUAUUUUGUUCGUUUUUGUGGCGUUGGCUUCGGUUAGCGUCAUGAUGCGAGCAGGAUUACUUUGAACGGCUUAAGUGCUUUAAGCGAGUCUUAUGACUGAAUACCGGUGCAUGGAAUAAUGGAAUAAGGUUUUGAUCGAGUUUUAUUGGUUUUGUCGGUUGAAAUAAUGGUUAACAGAAACAGCCGGGGGCAUUCGUAUCGCUGCGCGAGAGGUGAAAUUCGUGGACCGUAGCGAGACGUCCGAAAGCGAAGGCAUUUGUCAAGAGUGUUUUCAUUAAUCAAGAACGAAAGUCAGAGGUUCGAAGGCGAUUAGAUACCGCCCUAGUUCUGACCGUAAACGAUGCCAACUGUCGAUUCGCUUGUGGAUUUUAUUCAUGAGCGAGGAGGUUCCCGGAAACGAAAGUUUUUCGGUUCCGGGGGAAGUAUGGUUGCAAAGCUGAAACUUAAAGGAAUUGACGGAAGGGCACCACCAGGAGUGGAGCUUGCGGCUUAAUUUGACUCAACACGGGAAAUCUCACCCGGCCAGUACAUCGUGAGGAUUGACAGACUGAUAGCUUUUUCAUGAUUCGGUGAUUGGUGGUGCAUGGCCGUUCUUAGUUCGUGGAUUGAUUUGUCUGGUUUAUUCCGAUAACGAGCGAGACUUUGACUAUUAAAUAGUGCUCUUGUUGCUUCGGCUUCGAGUGAUCACUUCUUAAAGGAAUUUGUGGUUUCCAGCCUCAAGAGAUUUAGCAAUAACAGGUCUGUGAUGCCCUUAGAUGUUCGGGGCCGCACGCGUGCUACAAUGAUGGUAACAGCGUGAUUGUCCUUUCCCGAGAGGGAUUGGCAAACAGUUGAGAUAUUAUUUUGUCUGGAAUUGAGUGUUGAAAUUUUCCCUCAUGAACGAGGAAUUCCAAGUAAAUGCGAGUCAUCAACUUGCAUUGAUUACGUCCCUGCCCUUUGUACACACCGCCCGUCGCUGCCCGGGACUGGGUUACUUCGAGAAAGCUAGGGAUCGUUGAUGUUCGAUGGCUUGCCAUUGUCUUCGAUGAGAACGAGUUUAAUCGCAGUGGCCUGAACCGGGCAAAAGUCGUAACAAGGUAGCCGUAG
rnacentral:rRNA from 2 species